rnacentral:rRNA from 1 species
GACGAACGCUGGCGGCGUGCUUAACACAUGCAAGUCGAACGGUGAAGCGCCUUCCUUUUUGGUGGGUGUGGAUGAGUGGCGAACGGGUGAGUAACACGUGAGUAACCUGCCCCCUUCUUCUGGAUAACCGCAUGAAAGUGUGGCUAAUACGGGAUAUUCUGUGUCUGUCGCAUGAUGGGUCUGGGAAAGAUAUUGUUUCGGUGGGGGAUGGGCUCGCGGCCUAUCAGCUUGUUGGUGGGGUGAUGGCCUACCAAGGCGGUGACGGGUAGCCGGCCUGAGAGGGUGGACGGUCACACUGGGAAUGAGACACGGCGAAGACUCCUACGGGAGGCAGCAGGGGGGAAUAUUGCACAAUGGGCGCAAGCCUGAUGCAGCGACGCCGCGGGAGGGAUGGAGGCCUGCGGGUUGUGAACCUCUUUCGCCAGUGAAGCAGGCCUGCCUCGUUUGUGGGUGGGUUGACGGUAGCUGGAUAAGAAGCGCCGGCUAACUACGUG